rnacentral:ncRNA from 1 species
UCUCGUGCUAGGGAUAGGGAAUUGCAAUUAUUUCCCUUGAACGAGGAAUUCCCAGUAAGCGCGAGUCAUUAGCUCGCGUUGAUUACGUCCCUGCCCUUUGUACACACCGCCCGUCGCUACUACCGAUUGAAUGGUUUAGUGAGGUCCUCCGAUUGGACCCGGUCCGGGCGGCGACGUCCGAGCCGGCGUCCGAGAAGACGAUCUAACUUGAUCAUUUAGAGGAAGUAAAAGUCGUAACAAGGUUUCCGUAGGUGAACCUGCGGAAGGAUCAUUA